rnacentral:lncRNA from 1 species
CAGAGAGAGAGAGAGAGAGAGAAGGGGGAAAGUGAGAAAGAAAGGAUGAAUGUGACAGACAAUCACAUGUACCUACGGGGGAAGGAUGGCCAGCCACACAGGAGGGUGAUUUUCACUGAGGAGGAGGCCGCGCUGACCGAGAUGCAUGCUGGCCAUUUCGGUGUGAAGCACAUGAUUGCCAAAAUCAACCUACGCUUCUUCUGUCGUGGGAUUGUCAAGGAUGUGGACAGCUGGGUCAGUACCUGUCUAGCCUGACAGAAGUUUGUGAGGGUGAAGAUUGUGGGCGCUGGAGUUGUUUCACCAUGGCACAUGAUCGGGGUGGACCUCAGACUCUUCACAAAAUCCAGGAAUAGCAACAGCUGGUGUCUAAAACAGCAACUGAUUACUUUACCAAGUGGGUGGAGGCAAUACCCAUUAAGGUCAGUAAAGGAAGAAAAUGUGCUUAACUCAAAAAUUCCCUUCUGUAACCCAUUAAAAAGGGUGCUUGGAACCAAACCUUUAUUUUCAUUUUGUAUGAUACCCAUCAAGGACCAGACUUACGAGGCCACCUCCAGGGCUUUGAUGGACAUCCUCAACACCCACAGUUCUCCUGAGGUCAUCUUAAGUGACCGAGGUCGUGAACUCUGGAAAAAGGUUUGGAUGAACGGACGAACCAGAUCCUCAAAACUGCCAUGGAGUUGACGGGUACCAGGAAUGGUGAGAGGACAACCUGAAGGUAAUUCUCUUUGCACACAACAGCAGCGUCCAGUCCUCCACCGAGUACUUUCCCUAUUGCCUGCUGUACAGUUGGGAGCCGCAGCUGUUGACUGAGGUAAUAUACUGUUCUUUCAAAUUUGUGAUUGACUUAGUGUUGUUGUUUGCCAAAUUAUUUUUGUGGGGGGGUUGUCUGUUUUGCAUGUUAUUUUGACAUUAAUACGUGUCACUUAUCAGUUUGCAAACGAUGUAAAAAAUGUAAUAAAAAUAAUAGCGUUAGUAAUGGUCUCUUUUUUGCUUUCUUGAGUAAGGCAACUCCAAAAUGCAGGUGUUUCAGUCUAGCUCUGUGCUUUCUGUGGUGAUGGGGCAGCCAGCAGAAAAUAUGGAGCGUAGGGGUUGGUAAUGUUCUCUAGUUGCGCCGUGAUUGGCUCAGUUUUCUGUCACUCAUGGGGACACUACGUCGCC